CCUACGGGAGGCAGCAGUGAGGAAUAUUGGUCAAUGGACGAGAGUCUGAACCAGCCAAGUAGCGUGAAGGAUGACUGCCCUAUGGGUUGUAAACUUCUUUUAUAUGGGAAUAAAAUGUUCCACGUGUGGGAGUUUGUAUGUACCAUAUGAAUAAGGAUCGGCUAACUCCGUGCCAGCAGCCGCGGUAAUACGGAGGAGCAGCGCGUUAUCCGGAUUUAUUGGGUUUAAAGGGAGCGUAGGUGGAUUGUUCAGUCAGUUGUGAAAGUAUGCGGCUCAACCGUAAAAUUGCAGUUGAAACUGGUAGCCUUGAGUACAGGAGAGGUGGGCGGAAUUCGUGGUGUAGCGGUGAAAUGCUUAGAUAUCACGAAGAACUCCGAUUGCGAAGGCAGCUCACUGGACUGCAACUGACGCUGAGGCUCGAAAGUGUGGGUAUCAAACAGGAUUAGAUACCCGAGUAGUC
rnacentral:rRNA from 1 species